CCCCCUUGCUGAUUCUUGACAAACAACUUCUUUCUGGACAAGCAACUUUGGACUGCACCUGGGAAAACUGUGAGAUUUUGUAUGAAGAGUGAUAGAAAAAUAUUUUUAAAUAAAAUAAAUAAGAGCACCACCCAUUAUUUGUCUUUUCAGCAACAUAAGGUUAAUGGGUCUUCAACAAUAUCCAAGGACAAAGAAAAGGCAAAGAGAAACACAAGAGCAUGUUGGCUACAAAUGGAACAAAUGGGAUUAAUGUAAUAUCAAGCAACAUGCCUAUGUGGGUAUGCCUGAGCAAGUCAUCAUCCUCAAGAGGUAUCAAGUGAAGAUUCAUAAUGGAACAAUGAUCCUUUCUACAAGCACUGUCUUUCAUCAGAGGAUCUGUAAGUACCUUGCACACAUUGAGGAACCAAGCAACACAACCAGGUAUUGGCAUCCUCAUAAUAAAAAGAGAAAUACCAACUAUCAAGAGCAUGGCAAUGUACUAAGGGUAGCACAUCAGUCAGUGGCAGUGAUGGACAGAAAGGCUAGAAUAUAAAAGGUGUAAUUUGCAUCUAUCACUUAAGAACCUAUGAAGUGCCAUGUAUUUGCAAAUUGAUGCAGAUUUCAUCAUUCAAUUAAGACAACAAAGCUUUUCCUAAUAUUG